rnacentral:tRNA from 1 species
UUGUGGUUCAAUAGUAGAGCGCUCACCUAGCACGUGCGAGGCCCUGGGUUCAAUUCUCAGCAA